rnacentral:rRNA from 40 species
GUUGACCUCGGAUCAGGUAGGGAUACCCGCUGAACUUAAGCAUA